CACGAAGUUAGCCGGGGCUUCUUCUCCGGUUACCGUCAUUAUCUUCACCGGUGAAAGAGCUUUACAACCCUAGGGCCUUCAUCACUCACGCGGCAUGGCUGGAUCAGGGUUGCCCCCAUUGUCCAAUAUUCCCCACUGCUGCCUCCCGUAGGAGUCUGGGCCGUGUCUCAGUCCCAGUGUGGCUGAUCAUCCUCUCAGACCAGCUAUGGAUCGUCGCCUUGGUAGGCCAUUACCCCACCAACUAGCUAAUCCAACGCGGGCUCAUCCAUCUCCGAUAAAUCUUUCUCCCGAAGGACGUAUACGGUAUUAGUCCAAGUUUCCCUGGGUUAUUCCGUAGAGAUAGGUAGAUUCCCACGCGUUACUCACCCGUCUGCCGCUCGUAUUGCUACGCGCUCGACUUGCAUGUGUUAAGCCUGCCGCAAGCGUUCGUUCUGAGCCAGGAUCAAACUCU
rnacentral:rRNA from 1 species